rnacentral:tRNA from 1 species
GGGUAUAACUCAGUGGUAAAGUGUAUGCUUGGCAUGCAUGAAGUCCUAGGUUCAAUCCCCAGUACCUCCA